rnacentral:rRNA from 1 species
CUGGCUCAGGAUGAACGCUAGCUACAGGCUUAACACAUGCAAGUCGAGGGGCAGCAUGGAGGUAGCUUGCUACCUUGAUGGCGACCGGCGCACGGGUGAGUAACGCGUAUCCAACCUGGCCCUUAGUAGGGGAUAGCCCGGCGAAAGUCGGAUUAAUACCCUAUGUUAUCCGAAGCUGACAUCAGACUUGGAUCAAAGAUUAAUCGCUAAGGGAUGGGGAUGCGUCUGAUUAGCUUGAUGGCGGGUAACGGCCCACCAUGGCCACGAUCAGUAGGGUUCUGAGAGGAAGGUCCCCCCACAUUGGAACUGAGACACGGUCCAAACUCCUACGGGAGGCAGCAGUGAGGAAUAUUGGUCAAUGGUCGCGAGACUGAACCAGCCAAGUAGCGUGCAGGAAGACGGCCCUAUGGGUUGUAAACUGCUUUUAUGCGGGGAUAAAGUGGGCCACGUGUGGCCCUUUGCAGGUACCGCAUGAAUAAGGACCGGCUAAUUCCGUGCCAGCCGCCGC